rnacentral:rRNA from 1 species
UGGGGAAUCUUGGACAAUGGGGGCAACCCUGAUCCAGCCAUGCCGCGUGAGUGAUGAAGGCCUUAGGGUCGUAAAGCUCUUUCGCCUGUGAAGAUAAUGACGGUAGCAGGUAAAGAAACCCCGGCUAACUCCGUGCCAGCAGCCGCGGUAAUACGGAGGGGGUUAGCGUUGUUCGGAAUUACUGGGCGUAAAGCGCACGUAGGCGGACCAGAAAAGUUGGGGGGUGAAAUCCCGGGGGCUCAACCCCGGAACUGCCUCCAAAACUAUUGGUCUAGAGUUCGAGAGAGGUGAGUGGAAUUCCAAGUGUAGAGGUGAAAUUCGUAGAUAUUUGGAGGAACACCAGUGGCGAAAGGCGGCUCACUGGCUCGAUACUGACGCUGAGGUGCGAAAAGUGUGGGGGAGCAAAACAGGAUUAGAUACCCCUGGUAGUCCACGCCGUAAAACGGUGGGGCGCUAGGUGU